AUUGAACGCUUUCUUCCUUCCUAACACAUGCAAGUCGAGCGGAUGAAGGGAGCUUGCUCCUGGAUUCAGCGGCGGACGGGUGAGUAAUGCCUAGGAAUCUGCCUGGUAGUGGGGGAUAACGUCCGGAAACGGGCGCUAAUACCGCAUACGUCCUGAGGGAGAAAGUGGGGGAUCUUCGGACCUCACGCUAUCAGAUGAGCCUAGGUCGGAUUAGCUAGUUGGUGGGGUAAAGGCCUACCAAGGCGACGAUCCGUAACUGGUCUGAAAGGAUGAUCAGUCACACUGGAACUGAGACACGGUCCAGACUCCUACGGGAGGCAGCAGUGGGGAAUAUUGGACAAUGGGCGAAAGCCUGAUCCAGCCAUGCCGCGUGUGUGAAGAAGGUCUUCGGAUUGUAAAGCACUUUAAGUUGGGAGGAAGGGCAGUAAGUUAAUACCUUGCUGUUUUGACGUUACCAACAGAAUAAGCACAGGCUAACUUCGUG
rnacentral:rRNA from 1 species